rnacentral:rRNA from 1 species
GAUGAACGCUGGCGGCGUGCCUAAUACAUGCAAGUCGAGCGAACGGACGAGAAGCUUGCUUCUCUGAUGUUAGCGGCGGACGGGUGAGUAACACGUGGAUAACCUACCUAUAAGACUGGGAUAACUUCGAGAAACCGUAGCUAAUACCGGAUAAUAUUUUGAACCGCAUGGUUCAAAAGUGAAAGACGGUCUUGCUGUCACUUAUAGAUGGAUCCGCGCUGCAUUAGCUAGUUGGUAAGGUAACGGCUUACCAAGGCAACGAUGCAUAGCCGACCUGAGAGGGUGAUCGGCCACACUGGAACUGAGACACGGUCCAGACUCCUACGGGAGGCAGCAGUAGGGAAUCUUCCGCAAUGGGCGAAAGCCUGACGGAGCAACGCCGCGUGAGUGAUGAAGGUCUUCGGAUCGUAAAACUCUGUUAUUAGGGAAGAACAUAUGUGUAAGUAACUGUGCACAUCUUGACGGUACCUAAUCAGAAAGCCACGGCUAACUACGUG